rnacentral:rRNA from 1 species
AUUGAACGCUGGCGGCAUGCUUUACACAUGCAAGUCGAACGGUAACAGGUUAAGCUGACGAGUGGCGAACGGGUGAGUAAUGCAUCGGAACGUGCCCGAUCGUGGGGGAUAACGCAGCGAAAGCUGCGCUAAUACCGCAUACGAUCUGAGGAUGAAAGCGGGGGACCGUAAGGCCUCGCGCGAUCGGAGCGGCCGAUGUCAGAUUAGGUAGUUGGUGGGGUAAAGGCUCGCCAAGCCGACGAUCUGUAGCUGGUCUGAGAGGACGACCAGCCACACUGGGACUGAGACACGGCCCAGACUCCUACGGGAGGCAGCAGUGGGGAAUUUUGGACAAUGGGCGCAAGCCUGAUCCAGCAAUGCCGCGUGCAGGAAGAAGGCCUUCGGGUUGUAAACUGCUUUUGUACGGAGCGAAAAGGCUCUCUCUAAUACAGGGGGCUCAUGACGGUACCGGAAGAAUAAGCACCGGCUAACUACGUG